UACGUAGGUGGCAAGCGUUGUCCGGAUUUAUUGGGUUUAAAGGGUGCGUAGGCGGUCAAUUAAGUCAGUGGUGAAAUACGGCAGCUCAACUGUCGAGGUGCCAUUGAUACUGGUUGACUUGAGUACUGAUGAGGUAGGCGGAAUGGACGGUGUAGCGGUGAAAUGCUUAGAGAUCGUCCAGAACACCGAUAGCGAAGGCAGCUUACUAAGGAGUAACUGACGCUGAGGCACGAAAGCGUGGGGAGCAAACAGG
rnacentral:rRNA from 1 species